rnacentral:rRNA from 1 species
GAUGAACGCUGGCGGCGUGCUUAACACAUGCAAGUCGAACGGAAAGGCCCAAGCUUGCUUGGGUACUCGAGUGGCGAACGGGUGAGUAACACGUGGGUGAUCUGCCCUGCACUUCGGGAUAAGCCUGGGAAACUGGGUCUAAUACCGGAUAGGACCACACUUCUGAUGGUGUGGUGGAAAGUUUUUCGGUGUGGGGUGAGCUCGCGGCCUAUCAGCUUGUUGGUGGGGUAAUGGCCUACCAAGGCGUCGACGGGUAGCCGGCCUGAGAGGGUGCACGGCCACAUUGGGCCGGAGAUACGGCCCAGACUCCUACGGGAGGCAGCAGUGCGGAAUGGUGCACAAUAGGCGCAAGCCUGAUGCGGCGACGCCGCGUGGGGGAUGACGGCCUUCGGUUAGUAAACUCCUUUCGCUAGGGACGAAGCGCAAGUGACGGUACCUGGAGAAUAAGCACCGGCUAACUACGUG